rnacentral:rRNA from 1 species
GACGAACGCUGGCGGCGUGCUUAACACAUGCAAGUCGAACGGAAAGGCCCUGCUUGCAGGGUGCUCGAGUGGCGAACGGGUGAGUAACACGUGGGUGAUCUGCCCCUUACUUUGGGAUAAGCCUGGGAAACUGGGUCUAAUACUGGAUAGGACCAUGCUGUAGGUGGUGUGGUGGAAAGAUUAGUUUCGGUAAGGGAUGAGCUCGCGGCCUAUCAGCUUGUUGGUGGGGUAAUGGCCUACUAAGGCGUCGACGGGUAGCCGGCCUGAGAGGGUGGACGGCCACAUUGGGACUGAGAUACGGCCCAGACUCCUACGGGAGGCAGCAGUGGGGAAUAUUGCACAAUGGGCGCAAGCCUGAUGCAGCGACGCCGCGUGGGGGAUGACGGCCUUCGGGUUGUAAACUCCUUUCAGCCAUGACGAAGCCCUUGUGGUGACGGUAGUGGUAGAAGAAGCACCGGCUAACUACGUG